rnacentral:rRNA from 1 species
UACGGAGGGUGCGAGCGAUAUUCGGAAUUAUUGGGCGUAAAGCGCGUGUAGGCGGUUGAUUAAGUCUGAUGUGAAAGCCCUGGGCUUAACUUGGGAAGUGCAUUGGAAACUGGUCAGCUGGAGUACGGGGGAGGGAAGUGGGAUUCCGAGUGUAGGGGUGAAAUCCGUAGAUAUUCGGAAGAACACCGGUGGCGAAGGCGGCUUCCUGGACCGAUACUGACGCUGAGACGCGAAUGCGUGGGGAGCAAAC